GACGAACGCUGGCGGCGUGCUUAACACAUGCAAGUCGAACGGAAAGGCCCCUUUGGGGGUACUCGAGUGGCGAACGGGUGAGUAACACGUGAGUAACCUGCCCUUGACUUCGGGAUAACUUCAGGAAACUGGGGCUAAUACCGGAUAGGAAUCCUUGCUGCAUGGUGGGGGUUGGAAAGCUUCGGCGGCUGUGGAUGGACUCGCGGCUUCUCAGCCUGUUGGUGGGGCAGCGGCUUACCAAGGCUUUGACGGGCAGCCGGCCUGAGAGGGCGACCGGCCACAUUGGGAGUGAGGUACGGCCCAGACGCCUGCGGGAGGCAGCAGUGGGGAGUGUUGCACAAUGGGCGGAAGGCUGAUGCAGCGACGCCGGGUGCGGGAUGACGGGCUUCGGGUUGUAAGCCGCUUUCAGCAGGGGCGAAGCUUGUGGUGACGGUACCUGCAGAAGAAGCACCGGCUAACUACGUG
rnacentral:rRNA from 1 species